rnacentral:rRNA from 1 species
CUGCUGCCUUCCGUAGGAGUUUGGACCGUGUCUCAGUUCCAAUGUGGGGGACCUUCCUCUCAGAACCCCUAUCCAUCGUUGUCUUGGUGGGCCGUUACCCCGCCAACUAACUAAUGGAACGCAUCCCCAUCCCAUACCGAAAUUCUUUAAUAAUCCCAUCAUGCGGUAGGACUAUAACAUCGGGUAUUAAUCUUUCUUUCGAAAGGCUAUCCCCGAGUAUGGG